rnacentral:rRNA from 1 species
UUGGAGGGCAAGUCUGGUGCCAGCAGCCGCGGUAAUUCCGGCUCCAAUAGCGUAUAUUAAAGUUGUUGCAGUUAAAAAGCUCGUAGUUGAAUUUCGGGAUCAAUAUUUCGGUCAUGCCGUUGGUAUGCACUGUUAUCAUUGAUUUCUCACCUUCUAAAGAACCGUAAUGCCAUUAAUUUGGUGUUACGGGGAAUUAGGACUGUUACCUUGAAAAAAUUAGAGUGUUUAAAGCAGGC